AACUUCAGUUUCUGCUGAUGGUGCUGUUGUUGUUGAAGCAGCAUUUGUUGUUCUUGAUGGUGCAGUUGUACUUUGUGAGGAUAUGAGAGAGGUUGUGGGGGUCACAUGUAUGGUUGUGUAAGCUUCAGUUUCUGUUGAUGGUGCUGUUGUUGUUGAAGCAGCAUUUGUUGUUGUUGGUGGUGUAGUUGUACUUUGUGAGGAUAUGAGAGAGGUUGUGGGUGUCACAUGUAUUGUUGUGUAAGCUUCAGUUUCUGUUGAUGGUGCUGUUGUUCUUGCACUUGGUGAGGGUAUGAGAGAGGUUGUGGGGGUCACAUGUAUGGUUGUGUAAGCUUCAGUUGCUGCUGAUGGUGGUGUUGUUGUUGUACUUCGUGAUGAUAUGAGAGUGGUUGUGGGGGUCACCUCUAUGGUUGUGGAAGCUUCAGUUUCUGUUGAUGGUGCUGUUGUUCUUGCACUUGGUGAGGAUAUGAGAGUGGUUGUGGGGGUCACAUCUCUGAUUGUGGAAGCUUCAGUUUCUGUUGACAGUGCUGCUGUUGUUGUUGAAGCAGCAUUUGUUUCUGUUGAAGAUGCAGUUGUACUUGGUGUGGAUAUAAGUGUGGUUGUGGGGAUCACAUCUAUGGUUGUGGAAGCCUUAGAUUCUGUUGAUGGUGCUGUAGUUGUUUUACUUGGUGAGGAAAUGAGUGUGGUUGUGGUGGUCACCUCUUCGGUUGUGGAAGCUUCAGUUUCUGUUGAUUGUGCUGUUGUUGUUGUACUUGCUGAGGAUAUGAGAGUGGUUGUGGGGGUCAGCUCUAUAGUUGUGGAAGCUUCAGUUUCUGUUGAUGCUGCUGUUGUUGUUGAAGCAGCAUUUGUUGUUGAUGGUGCAGUUGUACUUGGUGAGGAUAUGAGAGUGGUUGUGGGGGUCAGAUAUAUUGUUGUGGAAGCCUCAGUUUCUGAUGAUUGUGCUGUUGUUGUAUUUAGUGAGGAUAUCAGAGUGGUUGUGGGUGUCGCCUCUAUGGUUGUGGAAACUUCAGUUUCUGUUGAUGGUGCUGUUGUUGUUGAAGCAGCAUUUGUUGUUGUUGGUUGUGCAGUUGUACUUGGUGAGGAUAUGAGAGUGGUUCUGGGGGUCACCUCUGUAGUUGUGGAAGCUUCAGUUUCUGUUGAUGGUGCUGUUGUUGGUGAAGCAGCAGCAUUUGUUGCUGUUGAAGGUGCAGUUGUACUUGGUGAGGAUAUAAGUGUGGUUGUGGGGAUCACAUCUAUGGUUGUGGAAGCUUCAGUUUCUGUUGAUGGUGCUGUUGUUGUUGAAGCAGCAUUUGUUACUGUUGAAAGUGUAGUUGUACUUGGUGAGGAUAUAAGUGUGGUUGUGGGCGUCAUCUCUAUGGUUGUGGAAGCGUCGGUUUCUGAUGAUGAUGCUAUUGUUGUACUUGGUGAGGAUAUAUGUGUGGUUGUUGGAAUGACAUCUACGGUUGUGGAAGCUUCAGUUUCUGUUGAUGGUGCUCUUGUUGUUAAAGCAGCAUUUGUUGCUGUUGAUGGUGCAUUUGUACUUGGUGAGAAUAUGAGAGUGGUUGUGGGGAUCACAUCUGUGGUUGUGAAAGCUCCAGUUUCUGUUGUCAUUGAAAAUGACAUUGCUGUUUGACCUGUAGCUGUUGCUGAAGAUACAUUUUCUGUAGGAGCCUCAGUUGUAGAUGCAAUUGAUAUUGAAUCUGUAGUUGUUGGAGAUGUAGUUGUGAAAGUCGCAGCUAUGCAUGUAUUUUGUUUGAGGGUCAUAGCUGUGGUAAGAGAUGCUUUAGUUCUUAUUAUACAAACUUCACUGGCUGUUGAAAUUGGUGUUGUUGGUGUUAUGGAGGAUGUACCUCCACAAACAAUGCACCAUACAUAUACUGUCAAGAAAAAAAAUAUAUAUAUAUAUUUAAUUGCUGUAUUAACUUUUGACCAUUUGAAAUUUAAAUGACACUAUUAUCAAAUUCCAUGAACAUUUUAAUAGCAUUUGAUUACGUCACAUUUUUAUUUAACAAUUUCUCAACACAAAAUAUCCAGAUUAAGAGUAUACGUACAUAUGGUGAGGAAUACGGCCCAUCUGGCCUCAUAUUUUGAAAUGAAACACCACCUAAAAUAGAAGAUAACAAUUUAUAUUUUGUCUUUAAUAAAUUACAAAACAUUCAUGUAUUCA
ensembl:lncRNA